UCUAGAUUAGAGUUUGAUCCUGGCUCAGAUUGAACGCUGGCGGCAGGCCUAACACAUGCAAGUCGAACGGUAACAGGAAGCAGCUUGCUGCUUUGCUGACGAGUGGCGGACGGGUGAGUAAUGUCUGGGAAACUGCCUGAUGGAGGGGGAUAACUACUGGAAACGGUAGCUAAUACCGCAUAACGUCGCAAGACCAAAGAGGGGGACCUUCGGGCCUCUUGCCAUCGGAUGUGCCCAGAUGGGAUUAGCUAGUAGGUGGGGUAACGGCUCACCUAGGCGACGAUCCCUAGCUGGUCUGAGAGGAUGACCAGCCACACUGGAACUGAGACACGGUCCAGACUCCUACGGGAGGCAGCAGUGGGGAAUAUUGCACAAUGGGCGCAAGCCUGAUGCAGCCAUGCCGCGUGUAUGAAGAAGGCCUUCGGGUUGUAAAGUACUUUCAGCGGGGAGGAAGGCGAUAAGGUUAAUAACCUUGUCGAUUGACGUUACCCGCAGAAGAAGCACCGGCUAACUCCGUGCCAGCAGCCGCGGUAAUACGGAGGGUGCAAGCGUUAAUCGGAAUUACUGGGCGUAAAGCGCACGCAGGCGGUCUGUCAAGUCGGAUGUGAAAUCCCCGGGCUCAACCUGGGAACUGCAUUCGAAACUGGCAGGCUAGAGUCUUGUAGAGGGGGGUAGAAUUUCCAGGUGUAGCGGUGAAAUGCGUAGAGAUCUGGAGGAAUACCGGUGGCGAAGGCGGCCCCCUGGACAAAGACUGACGCUCAGGUGCGAAAGCGUGGGGAGCAAACAGGAUUAGAUACCCUGGUAGUCCACGCCGUAAACGAUGUCGACUUGGAGGUUGUGCCCUUGAGGCGUGGCUUCCGGAGCUAACGCGUUAAGUCGACCGCCUGGGGGAGUACGGCCGCAAAGGUUAAAACUCAAAUGAAAUUGACGGGGGCCCGCACAAGCGGUGGAGCAUGUGGUUUAAUUCGAUGCAACGCGAAGAACCUUACCUACUCUUGACAUCCAGAGAACUUAGCAGAGAUGCUUUGGUGCCUUCGGGAACUCUGAGACAGGUGCUGCAUGGCUGUCGUCAGCUCGUGUUGUGAAAUGUUGGGUUAAGUCCCGCAACGAGCGCAACCCUUAUCCUUUGUUGCCAGCGGUCCGGCCGGGAACUCAAAGGAGACUGCCAGUGAUAAACUGGAGGAAGGUGGGGAUGACGUCAAGUCAUCAUGGCCCUUACGAGUAGGGCUACACACGUGCUACAAUGGCGCAUACAAAGAGAAGCGACCUCGCGAGAGCAAGCGGACCUCAUAAAGUGCGUCGUAGUCCGGAUUGGAGUCUGCAACUCGACUCCAUGAAGUCGGAAUCGCUAGUAAUCGUAGAUCAGAAUGCUACGGUGAAUACGUUCCCGGGCCUUGUACACACCGCCCGUCACACCAUGGGAGUGGGUUGCAAAAGAAGUAGGUAGCUUAACCUUCGGGAGGGCGCUUACCACUUUGUGAUUCAUGACUGGGGUGAAGUCGUAACAAGGUAACCGUAA
rnacentral:rRNA from 1 species